rnacentral:rRNA from 1 species
UGGGUGAUCUGCCCUGCACUUCGGGAUAAAGACCUGGGAAACUGGGUCUAAUACCGGAUAUACCUCAUUGAUCUCCUGGUUGGUGGGGGAAAGCUUUUGCGGUGUGGGAUGGCCCGCGGCCUAUCAGCUUGUUGGUGAGGUUACGGCUCACCAAGGCGUCGACGGGUAGCCGGCCUGAGAGGGUGUCCGGCCACACUGGGACUGAGAUACGGCCCAGACUCCUACGGGAGGCAG